AGCGAACGCUGGCGGCAGGCUUAACACAUGCAAGUCGAACGCCCCGCAAGGGGAGUGGCAGACGGGUGAGUAACACGUGGGAACGUACCCUCUGGUUCGGAAUAACUUGGGGAAACUCAAGCUAAUACCGGAUAAGCCCUUAUGGGGAAAGGUUUACUGCCGAAGGAUCGGCCCGCGUCUGAUUAGCUAGUUGGUGAGGUAAUGGCUCACCAAGGCGACAAUCAGUAGCUGGUCUGAGAGGAUGAUCAACCACACUGGGACUGAGACACGACCCAGACUCCUACGGGAGGCAGCAGUGGGGAAUAUUGGACAAUGGGGGCAACCCUGAUCCAGCCAUGCCGCGUGAGUGAUGAAGGCCUUAGGGUUGUAAAGCUCUUUUACCCGGGACGAUAAUGACUGUACCGGGAGAAUAAGCCCCGGCUAACUUCGUGCCAGCAGCCGCCGUAA
rnacentral:rRNA from 1 species